CAGUGUGGCUGCGCCUCUCCUCCCAGUGUUGGGCGCGCAUGGUCAGCGCUGAGCUGCGCGUGUCGCCCAAAGGCCUUGAGACCUCGUGUUCUGGGGAGGACAGACAGAGCUCACCAUCUCCAGCUGAGGAAGAGUGUCCAGACUUCCGGAGCUGGGAAGGGUGGAGAACCUUGAAAUCUGAAUUUGAACAAAGCAUCUGGCCAAGACUCAUACUACACCUCUGGCUGACUGAGACAUAUAAGCAGACCAAGAAUAACUGAGUUUCCCAAGACUUCCUUUCAUUAUUCCAUUUUGCCUGUUCUGAAGAAUGCCAUGUAAUAUGUUUGGGAUAGGAUAAUACAACCUCUAAAAAGAAAAGUUUCCAUUUUUAGUUUAAUUUGGAAAAUAAAAACAACUUAGAAAUACUUAUACUUGCUAAUCAAGGUAAACAUUGAAGAAUUUUGCCAUCUACUAUCUAGUUAGAAUACUUCCAUGAAUAGAUUCAUGAACAUAGGUAAAAAAUCUCAGUUGUAUUUAUUUUAAUUUCUAGAAUAUGCAAAUAAUAUAAUUUGAAAUAUACCAGUGGACUGAAUAAUGAUUCUGAAAAUUCUUCUUAACAUUUCUUAUCAAAAUUUGUAUUUUGCAAAAUGGCAUGUCUGGAAGUCCACAUAAAGGAAAAUGGAAAUCUAGAGGGAAUGCAAUUGAGAAAGCUCAGUAAUAAAUUCAAUCAUGCACAUGUAAUA